AUUGAACGCUGGCGGCAUGCUUUACACAUGCAAGUCGAACGGCAGCACGGGUGCUUGCACCUGGUGGCGAGUGGCGAACGGGUGAGUAAUGCAUCGGAACGUACCCAGAGGUGGGGGAUAACCCGGCGAAAGCCGGACUAAUACCGCAUAAUUCCUGAGGGAUAAAGUGGGGGACCGCAAGGCCUCACGCCAUUGGAGCGGCCGAUGUCGGAUUAGCUAGUUGGUGGGGUAAAGGCUCACCGAGGCGACGAUCCGUAGCUGGUCUGAGAGGAUGAUCAGCCACACUGGGACUGAGACACGGCCCAGACUCCUACGGGAGGCAGCAGUGGGGAAUUUUGGACAAUGGGGGCAACCCUGAUCCAGCCAUGCCGCGUGAGUGAAGACGGCCUUAUGGGUUGUAAACUUCUUUUGUAUAGGAAUAAACCUACCCUCGUGAGGGUAGUUGAAGGUACUUUACGAAUAAGCAUCGGCUAACUCCGUGCCAGCCGCCGCGGU
rnacentral:rRNA from 1 species